rnacentral:rRNA from 1 species
UACAGAGGGUGCAAGCGUUAUUCGGAAUUAUUGGGCGUAAAGGGCGCGUAGGCGGCUCGCUAAGUCUGGUGUGAAAGCCCUGGAUUCAAUUCAGGAAGUGCAUUGGAUACUGGCAAGCUAGAGUAUAGGAGAGGAGAGCGGAAUUCCUGGUGUAGAGGUGAAAUUCGUAGAUAUCAGGAGGAACAUCAAUGGCGAAGGCAGCUCGCUGGGACGGUACUGACGCUGAGACGCGAAAGCGUGGGGAGCAAACAGG